AGAGCGAACGCUGGCGGCAGGCCUAAUACAUGCAAGUCGAACGGACCCUUCGGGGUUAGUGGCGGACGGGUGAGUAACACGUGGGAACGUGCCCUUUGGUUCGGAACAACUCAGGGAAACUUGAGCUAAUACCGAAUGUGCCCCCAUCCUUAAACAAGAUGGGUGGGAAAGAUUUAUCGCCAUUGGAGCGGCCCGCGUCUGAUUAGCUAGUUGGUGAGGUAAAGGCUCACCAAGGCGACGAUCAGUAGCUGGUCUGAGAGGAUGAUCAGCCACACUGGGACUGAGACACGGCCCAGACUCCUACGGGAGGCAGCAGUAGGGAAUCUUGCGCAAUGGGCGAAAGCCUGACGCAGCCAUGCCGCGUGAAUGAUGAAGGUCUUAGGAUUGUAAAAUUCUUUCAGCGGGGACGAUAAUGACGGUACCGCAGAAGAAGCCCGGCUAACUUCGUGCCAGCAGCCGCGGU
rnacentral:rRNA from 1 species